UGCCUUUCUUCUUUUGGACCAUCAGCCUGAUUUUUGGGAGUCAAGGUGGAUGUCUCACGACCAUUCUGAAGUGAGGGAGGACUAGAAGAUGAGGGAGGAGGUAGGCUGGAUUUGGCAUCUGUUUCUUCUAGUAAUAAACAUAUCAAAUCACCAGGAACAAUCCCAUAUGAAGCUAAAGUCUUCUCAUCUUCUGUAAGAGCGUCUUUCCCAUUCAGUGUUAUUGAAAACUCUGUAUCAGAACUGUAGCCCCAGGCGUGAAGCAGGGCCCGGCGGAGCUGCGCGCGCAGCUCCCCCAGCGUUGGCUCCGCCCCCUCCAGCUCCAGCGGCGCCGUUCGCUUCUGCAGCCGCACGCGAAGCUUCAUGGCGGCGGGGCCGGCGGGGCCGCGCUUCCGCCCGCUUUACGCUCCGAGCGGGCCCCCGCCGGCUAACGAUGGUGGCGGGCAGCGGGCGCAAGGGCUGCCGGGGCGUGGCGGUGUUUGGGUUGGCGCGGCGCCGCCUCAGCCCCCGGCCGGCCCCGCCUCCGGCCGGCCCCGCCCCCGCUGCCCGUGAAGCGGUGGCUCGGUGUGUCAAGAUGGCCGCAGUCGGUGGUGCGGUGCGCGGGCUGUUGCUGCGCAUGCGCUUGGGUGGUGUGCUGUGGUGGGGUUGUAUGAGAUGGGAAGGCGGUUAUCAACACUAUGCCAACUAAAGUACGUCCAUCAAAGGCAAGGAAAGAGAAUGCAAUGAGAAGGCACCGUGAGCGCUGUGACUGUCAGGAACUGCUUUCCUUAGUCUUGGAGAAGGUUGGCUCUGACGUGUGUCGUACUCCUUCAGCAUUGCGACCAUUUUUCCCAUGGCUGUGGACACCCUUCUCUGUUUUGCUUUUUAGCGUUGAACCUCUCAAAGCCACCUCCCGUCUUUCCACUGUGCUCUUGUGAGAAAUAAACGUUCAUUCCUUUAUUUUCAGAAGAAGCACCAUGUUAGUCACUUGCACAAGCUAAAGAAGCGUGAAGUGAGAUACUUCUGUUCCUCAGGACCUGGCUGCGCUAAUUGAUCCUUGUUAGUUAACCAGCUAAUUAAGCGUGUCUGCUGCCAUUCUGCCAAUUUUUCCUUUGAAUUUUGUAAGUCAUGCCUCAAGUUCAGACAUGUUCUGCCCACAGCCCUAAAUACUAAACAGGGAAAACUGAGAAACAAAAGGCUGAAAUGGUUUACAGAGCUUCCAUGUUGGCCUGUGCCCAUUUCAGAUGGCCCAAGUCCACUGUGUUAUUUUUGUAAUAAAAGGGAAGUUAUUUGAUGAAUAAUAUUUUUCUGUGCUAUUUCGAUUUUCUUUUGUCUGUAGGGGAGGGAUUUCCAGUAAUCAAGUAUGAAACUGACCUCAAGCUGGUCAAGGCACUCCACCAAAAUAGUAUUGAAAUCAUAGAACCGUAAAAUGGUUUAGGUCAGAAGAUACCUGGAAGAUCAUUGAUUUCCCACCCUGUGCUGUGGGCAGGGCUGCCAGCCCCUAGCUGAGGCUGCCCAUGGCCCCAUCCAACCUGACCUUGAGUGCCUCCAGGGAUGAGGCACCCACAGCUAUCUGGGCAACUGUGCCAGUGCCUCACCACCCUCUGAGUAAAGAAUUUCUUACUAACAUCUAACCUAAAUCUUCCUUCUUUUACUUUAAAGCCAUUUCCCCUUGUCCUGUAAGAAGUCACUCCUCUUCCUGCUUAUAACCUCCCUUCAUAUAUGGGAAGGCUGCAAUGAGUUCACCUUGGAGCUUUCUGCAAGCUGAACAAGCCUAACUACUUCAGUCUUUCUUUGCAGCAAAGGUACUCCAGCCCUCUAAUCUUCUUUGUGGCUCUCCUUGGGACCCACUCCAACAGCUCCAUAUUCUUCUUGUGCUGGGGGCCCCAGGUCUGGAUGCAGUAUUUCCGUGCUUACAAGUUUGAAUAAAUGGUUGUACACAAAAGAGUUUUGACUUUCAGCACGGUUCACUUUAUCAGAAUUGGUAACUUUUAUUAGUCUAAUCCUUUAAAAAAAGACUAUGUGAUAUAGUGAUAUAGUAUAAUGUGAUUUUCAUGGUUUUCAUGAAAUCGAUGUAGUUUCUCAAUUCAAGUACCCCCCACACAUGUGGUCAGUGAAAAAAAAAAUAGAAACAAUUUCACCAAAGAAGUAAAACUAUUGACAGCCCUCAUGGUAAAAUUUAUCUUGAGAAACUUGAAACUUAAUAUUGC
rnacentral:lncRNA from 1 species